ensembl:lncRNA
AAUUCUGCCUCUCUCUCUCUCUCUCUCUCUCUCUCUCUCUCUCUCUCUCUCUCUCUCUCUCUCUCUCUCUCUCUCUCUCUCUCUCUCUCUCUCUCUCUCUCUCUCUCUCUCUCUCUCUCUCUCUCUCUCUCUCUCUCUCUCUCUCUCUCUCUCUCUCUCUCUCUCUCUCUCUCUCUCUCUCUCUCUCUCUCUCUCUCUCUCUCUCUCUCUCUCUCUCUCUCUCUCUCUCUCUCUCUCUCUCUCUCUCUCUCUCUCUCUCUCUCUCUCUCUCUCUCUCUCUCUCUCUCUCUCUCUCUCUCUCUCUCUCUCUCUCUCUCUCUCUCUCUCUCUCUCUCUCUCUCUCUCUCUCUCUCUCUCUCUCUCUCUCUCUCUCUCUCUCUCUCUCUCUCUCUCUCUCUCUCUCUCUCUCUCUCUCUCUCUCUCUCUCUCUCUCUCUCUCUCUCUCUCUCUCUCUCUCUCUCUCUCUCUCUCUCUCUCUCUCUCUCUCUCUCUCUCUCUCUCUCUCUCUCUCUCUCUCUCUCUCUCUCUCUCUCUCUCUCUCUCUCUCUCUCUCUCUCUCUCUCUCUCUCUCUCUCUCUCUCUCUCUCUCUCUCUCUCUCUCUCUCUCUCUCUCUCUCUCUCUCUCUCUCUCUCUCUCUCUCUCUCUCUCUCUCACUCACUCACAAUUACUCCCUCAGUUAUCUCCCCUUGUCUUAUCUCCAGCUGAAUGCCUGCAUUUCCCAGAGAACAGAUCAUUCUGCACUUAAAAGAAGCAUACAAAUACAUCAACAGUUGAGAGGGAAGUAUGUGUGUGUGUGUGUGUGUGUGUGUGUGUGUGUUAAGUGUAUGUGCAUGUUAGUUUUGGAGAAGCUACGUUACAACUGUAGCUUGCUUGACAAGGUUGUGAAAAAGUUUUCUGCAGAAUAUUUAUAUUUAGUGACAGAAAACUUAUUAAAGGUCAACAUGGAACGCCAUCUAGGCGUUAGUGACGUCCAAUCAUCACUAGGUCCAUUAGCGCCAAAUAGUAGCCUACGCAAGCAGCAAAAGAACUUUAUGCGUAUUAAUUUUGUCAUGUUAUAUGCUAUGAUAAUUGUUAAAAAACUAGGAAAAGCUAUAUUAUUUUGA